rnacentral:rRNA from 1 species
CCUACGGGAUGCAGCAGUGAGGAAUAUUGGUCAAUGGGCGCGAGCCUGAACCAGCCAAGUAGCGUGAAGGAUGACUGCCCUAUGGGUUGUAAACUUCUUUUAUAUGGGAAUAAAGUGAUGCACGUGUGGGAUUUUGUAUGUACCAUAUUAAUAAGGAUCGGCUAACUCCGUGCCAGCAGCCGCGGUAAUACGGAGGAUCCGAGCGUUAUCCGGAGUUAUUGGGUUUAAAGGGAGAGUAGGUGGAUUGUUAAGUCAGUUGUGAAAGUUUGCGGCUCAACCGUAAAAUUGCAGUUGAAACUGGCAGCCUUGAGUACAGUAGAGGUGGGCGGAAUUCGUGGUGUAGCGGUGAAAUGCUUAGAUAUCACGAAGAACUCCGAUUGCGAAGGCAGCCUACUGGACUGCAACUGACACUGAGGCUCGAAAGUGUGGGUAUCAAACAGGAUUAGAUACCCGGGUAGUC